GAAAUUGCCUCAGCCACCUCAGCCUUGAGCAGUUGCCACCCUGAUCAGUCAGCAACCUUCAUCAACACUGGAGCAAGACCCUCCACCAGCAAAAAAGAUUAUUCUAACUUAUUGAAGGCUCAGAUGGUGCUUCGCAUUUUUAGCAGUAAAAUGUUUUUAUUUUUUCAAUAAAGUAUCUUAAGAUUAAGGUAUGAACAUUUUUUAGGUAUAAUGCUAUUGCACACUCAACAGACUAUAGUAGAGUGUGAACACAAUUUUUAUAUACACUGAGCAACCAAAAAAUUCAUGUGUCUUGCUUUUUUUGAGAUAUUUGUUUUAUUGCGGUGAUCUACCACUGGACCCACAAUAACUCUACUGAUCUUAACUUUGAUUAAAUAAAGUGUAUACAUGUUUUCUUUCUCUUCUUCCUCCUCCUUCAAAAUCUUUGCUUUCUGUCUUAAUAAAAACUCUAAGACAGAAGGUCAAGGGCUAAGCAAAGAGGGUUCAGUGACUUACCCAGGAUCACACAGUUAGGAAGUGUCUGAGGCCAGAUUUGAACCUAGGUUCUUGAACUCCAAGCCUGGCAUUUUAUCUACUGUGCCACCUAGCUGCCCCUCCAUGCUUUAUUUUUUUUUUUAAGGAUUCUAAAGAGCCUUGUGAAAUGUAACAAAAUGGCAAAUAUUGAGAAGGAAAAGUGUUGGAUUUUGUCAUAGAAGUUUGGUUUAAAACCUAGUUUUGUCACUUAUGACAUUGGACAAAUUACUCCUUUUCUUGGGCCUUUUCUCAUUUGUAACACUGAAUCAGGGUUAAACUUAACUCCCUAUGAGUUCUGGAUGUGAGCCCACAAGAUGCCCUUUGUGAGAUCUAGAGGGUCAGAGAGUCUAUUGAGUUUUGAGAGAGAGAGAGAGAGAGAGAGAGAGAGAGAGAGAGAGAGAGAGAGAGAGAGAGAGAGAGGGAGGAUGGGAGGGAGGGAGAAAGAGAGAGAGAGAGGAUGGGAGGGGAGAGAAAGAGGAGGGGAGAGGGAGAGGGGAAGAGGAGAAAGAAAAAAAUUAAAGAGAGGAAAAAGAGAGAAUGGAGAAAGUGGGGCAGUGGGAUAAUCAGGAAUGUCCAUUCGGCAUCUUGGUCCUGUGAAGGCAAAUUGGAUUUGACCUCCCCAGCCCUGCUGUUCCAGUCCCGUCUGGAAAAUUCUUCUGAGCUAUGAAUGCUGAUUAUCUUGAAUGUGUCCAUUUAUGUGGGGUUUUCUGUGAGCCAGACAAACAUGGCCUGAGGCUGCCAAAGCCAUUUCACUGAUGAUUGUCUUUGGAGGAGGAUGGCUUGGCCAAUGGGCUAAUGUAUAAGUAUGGGUGGGUGUCUUUCUCCACCACCAUGACAGAGACCAUGAUGUAGCCCAGGCCAUUCCUUUUGGUGCUCUUCAGGAUGGAUCAGGACUUCUUCUGGCCAUAAACACAUUAUUUUGGAGCACAUGGCAUAUGGGGGAUAUUUUACAUGUACAAAUAGAGAUGAGGGUGAGAAGGUUCCUGCUUUCUUCUCACCCACAAAAUGUGCAUCAUCCUUUGGCAGAGGAAUCCGUGCCCUAUUUUGGUAUUUUCAUAGCUGUCUUGAAGGGAGGCGUGGGGUAGUGAGUAAAGAGCUGAUCCUGAG
ensembl:lncRNA